CGGGAGCCACUGGGGCCAAAGUGAGAGUCCAGCGGUCUUCCAGCGCUUGGGCCACGGCGGCGGCCCUGGGAGCAGAGGUGGAGCGACCCCAUUACGCUAAAGAUGAAAGGCUGGGGUUGGCUGGCCCUGCUUCUGGGGGCCCUGCUGGGAACCGCCUGGGCUCGGAGGAGCCAGGAUCUCCACUGUGGAGGUAAAGGCACAACGGGAAAAAGAAGUGGAGGAAGCAGAGCCUUGGGAGGGCAUGAGAUCCAAGGCCUGGGAGAAGGAUGAAUGGAAAUCCUGGGUUGAUCCCAUUCUCCUCACACCCUACCCCCUACCCUGUCCCCUGCUCUCAUUCUCUCCUCUUCCACCAGCAUGCAGGGCUCUGGUGGAUGAACUAGAAUGGGAAAUUGCCCAGGUGGACCCCAAGAAGACCAUUCAGAUGGGAUCUUUCCGGAUCAAUCCAGAUGGCAGCCAGUCAGUGGUGGAGGUAACUGUUACUGUUCCCCCAAACAAAGUAGCUCACUCUGGCUUUGGAUGAAAUUCGACUGCUUAAAAAGGACCUUGGUUUAAUAGAAAUGAAGAAAACAGACUCAGAAAAAAGAUUUGGCUCUGUCUCAUUUGGAAGAAGCUGCAGGCUUAUUCCCCAUGCACUUGCUUCCUGGCUGCAAACCUUAAUACUUUGUUUCUG
rnacentral:lncRNA from 1 species